ensembl:lncRNA
UGCUCAUUUCUCAUGCUCUCGCAGUCAGCUCCAUCAUCUGAGGAACAAUUCAAUUUUGGAUUUGUAUUCACCGAAUUGCUGGGUAACCCAGCGCGGGCACGGUGCUGAAUGAAGCUAUUGACUCAUAGACACUUGAAUGCCUCGACGCGCUACUGUAUCGAGCUAAUUCCACAGACGAUACUUGUUCAUAAGAUUCUUUAUGUGUGCUAGGAUGACGGUUUCAGGGCCUCCCCGUUCACCGCGAGUGUUUUUUUUCUUUCUGUGCUGCUUGUUCCUUGCGGCUCAUCUCCGAGAGCACAACCUGUGCCGGCUUCAAUAAACAGCCAGCGCACACAUCAACACCUCUAAGUCAGAGCAACAGUUUGAUCUAGAGGCGCUCCUGGGGUGAACCCAGAGGGUGAGCUCACCUGUGCUCUACGUGACGAACGAGUGGAGCACUCACGCUGGGAACCCGGCUGCAGUUAAACACAACGACCCGAUCCUUCCUCCAAACGGCUGAAGAAUCGCCAAUGGAAGAUGGGGAAACAGGCCAAACGCCGAAAGCUGAAUUGCUGUUGUGUUCACCGGAGAGAAUGACGCCAGCUUUCAGAGAAACGGGACGUGCGGCACGCGCUGUGGUGGCGACGUGUCAAAUCGCCCAGGCCGAUGCGGCACAGCUCCAAUCAGCCAGAAUGAACUCAUGAAUUCAUUUAAAACGUGGCAGCACGAGUCUCGCGCGCAAAUACUGGUAUUAAAGUUGCCGCAGCAGCCACCUUCCCACUUGAAGAGGCAGCAGGAGAAAACCAUUUGGAAAACUUGGACUUUGAUACCCAGACACCAUGUUAUAAAAUGUAAACUACACAAGGCACUCUGGCCUCUACCAGCCUUGCUCACCAGUGAUCAAAGGGACAUUGGAUGGGAUGGAUACAACAGCUAAAUCCAGCUUUUCCUGCUCAAAUAUCUUGUAAAGGAACUGCGUUCGGCCCCCAACUUCUUUUUGUUACUUGCUUUGGGUGGGAAAGAAAUCCUAUUUUUCCUCAUUGUGAAACCAUUCCAUUGACUCCAAUAAAUAAAAUAACUCCUCCAAGACAGGAACAUCACCAACCAAGAGGCAAGUUCAAGUCCUGGAGAAUACCCUUUUAUAUGGCUUUAUUAUUGUAAGGUCAUCUCUGGCUCUUUGUUUGG